CGAAAAAUAACAUAUCUAAAGUACUUCCCCACACUAAUUUCCUUUCAGAAAAGAUGCUACACUUAGAAACCAGUCAGGCAAGUCUUCUGGUAGAUAAGUUGUUAACAGAAAAAAAAAACCAUCUUUGUAAAACCAUAAGCUUCUUUGUUCCAUUCAGAAUCCAAAAGACUUCUUAAACUAUAGGUUUAUAGAUAGAGAUAGUCAAAAUUAGGGAGUGAGGAGGGGGUGAGGGAAGAUGAUAUAUACCAUAUUUUCUUCCUCAAUAUGUUU